AAAAAGGACAAACUUCCGUGUCCAACGUUUGACCGUCCGUCUUAUUUAAAAAAAUAUAAAAAAUAUUAAAAAGAUAAGUCAUAUAUAAAAUAUUAAUCAUGUUUUAUCAUCUAACAACAAUGAAAAUACAAAUUAUAAAAAAAUUUCAUAUAAGACAGACAGUCAAAGUUAGACACGGAAACCAGGGGUUUGCCUUUUU
rfam:Oryza sativa (indica cultivar-group) chromosome 4, whole genome shotgun sequence.